GAAUAUUGCACAAUGGGCGCAAGCCUGAUGCAGCCAUGCCGCGUGUGUGAAGAAGGCCUUCGGGUUGUAAAGCACUUUCAGUCGUGAGGAAGGUGGUGUAGUUAAUAGCUGCAUUAUUUGACGUUAGCGACAGAAGAAGCACCGGCUAACUCCGUGCCAGCAGCCGCGGUAAUACGGAGGGUGCGAGCGUUAAUCGGAAUUACUGGGCGUAAAGCGCAUGCAGGUGGUUUGUUAAGUCAGAUGUGAAAGCCCGGGGCUCAACCUCGGAAUAGCAUUUGAAACUGGCAGACUAGAGUACUGUAGAGGGGGGUAGAAUUUCAGGUGUAGCGGUGAAAUGCGUAGAGAUCUGAAGGAAUACCGGUGGCGAAGGCGGCCCCCUGGACAGAUACUGACACUCAGAUGCGAAAGCGUGGGGAGCAAACAGGAUUAGAUACCCUGGUAGUCCACGCCGUAAACGAUGUCUACUUGGAGGUUGUGGCCUUGAGCCGUGGCUUUCGGAGCUAACGCGUUAAGUAGACCGCCUGGGGGAGUACGGUCGCAAGAUUAAAACUCAAAUGAAUUGACGGGGGCCCGCACAAGCGGUGGGAGCAUGUGGUUUAAUUCGAUGCAACGCGAAGAACCCUUACCUACUCUUGACAUCCAGAGAACUUUCCAGAGAUGGAUUGGUGCCUUCGGGAACUCUGAGACAGGUGCUGCAUGGCUGUCGUCAGCUCGUGUUGUGAAAUGUUGGGUUAAGUCCCGCAACGAGCGCAACCCUUAUCCUUGUUUGCCAGCGAGUAAUGUCGGGAACUCCAGGGAGACUGCCGGUGAUAAACCGGAGGAAGGUGGGGACGACGUCAAGUCAUCAUGGCCCUUACGAGUAGGGCUACACACGUGCUACAAUGGCGCAUACAGAGGGCGGCCAACUUGCGAAAGUGAGCGAAUCCCAAAAAGUGCGUCGUAGUCCGGAUUGGAGUCUGCAACUCGACUCCAUGAAGUCGGAAUCGCUAGUAAUCGUGGAUCAGAAUGCCACGGUGAAUACGUUCCCGGGCCUUGUACACACCGCCCGUCACACCAUGGGAGUGGGCUGCAAAAGAAGUAGGUAGUUUAACCUUCGGGGGGACGCUA
rnacentral:rRNA from 1 species